AACGAACGCUGGCGGCAUGCCUAGCACAUGCAAGUCGAACGAGACCUUCGGGUCUAGUGGCGCACGGGUGCGUAACGCGUGGGAACCUGCCCUUAGGUUCGGAAUAACUCCCCGAAAGGGGUGCUAAUACCGGAUAAUGUCUUCGGACCAAAGAUUUAUCGCCUUUGGAUGGGCCCGCGUUGGAUUAGCUAGUUGGUAGGGUAAAAGCCUACCAAGGCGACGAUCCAUAGCUGGUCUGAGAGGAUGAUCAGCCACACUGGGACUGAGACACGGCCCAGACUCCUACGGGAGGCCGCAGUGGGGAAUAUUGGACAAUGGGCGAAAGGCUGAUCCAGCCAUGCCGCGUGAGUGAUGAAGGCCUUAGGGUUGUAAAGCUCUUUUACCCGGGAUGAUAAUGACAGUACCGGGAGAAUAAGCUCCGGCUAACUCCGUG
rnacentral:rRNA from 1 species